ensembl:ncRNA Y51A2D.33 ncRNA
AGCCUAAACCACAGCCUAAGCCUGAGCCUAAGACUAUCCCUAAGCCUAAGCCUAAGCCAAAGCCUACGCCUAAAUCUAAGCCUUAGCUGAAGCCUAAGACUAAGCCUAAGCCUAAGCCUAAGCCUAAGCCUAAACCAAAGCCUAAGCCU